rnacentral:sRNA from 1 species
CACGCCUUUCUAUAGUAUUUGAUUCUGUGCUAGGUUUUGCUCUGUCCAGCUGCACAGGUUGUCCAACACCACUUAAUCAAGCCAUGCUGUAUACAACCGCAGUUUGCGCGCUUCCGGAUUCAUCCACUGAAUGUGAUGUUGUGACCCGAACGGUGUAGCGCCGUCAGUGGUGUUAUGUCCUCCUUACUUGCAUGACUGGAGAAAAGAUGUUCGUCUCCUAGAUCACCAUUUUGCUGCGAGUGUAGCUACAAAAUCAUACUAGUAUGUACCACGGGCCAGGUUCCUGCAGUGACAUAUCAGGGUGAUUCUGAUUCAUUCGUUUAUUAUUUUUAUCUUUUAAUCUUUUUUCUUUCUUUAAGAGAACGACUCCUUUACCUGACCCAACAGCUGAUGACACUGACUGCUCUCAAACGGACUGUAUCCCUCAAAUAUUACAGCUAAGAAAAAGAAAAGGGAAAAGGAAGGCAAGGAAAUUGAAAAAAAAAAAAAAAACCACUGAACUAGUGAGAGAUAGAAAAAAAGGGAGAGGGGAGGAGAGGAUAGUAAACAAGCAGAUAAACGGAUCCAGAAAUCCACCCAAGCAGAGUGCAGGUAUCUUGCCCCAACAAAAGAAUUCAAGGUUAUUCUAAACUUUCCAAUCUGUCCCUAGCCAUCAUGCAUCUGACAAAAACGCCCGGUAUCCAAUUCAUGCUUCCUGCUUAUUGAUUCUUUCACUUCUUCUUCUAGUAUUAGCUGCGUCCACCCCAAGAGUAUUGCUCUUCAUAGUUUUCUUUGUGCACCCUUCUGUUGUCGUUUCAACGCAUGUCGGUAAUUGAACCGUUUUGCUUGGACACUUCUUUUUCUUCGUCCACCCAUGACCAUACCUUCUAUUUCUCUUUUUCCGGGGUCCUUCCAUCUUCCCUAAGCUUAUUGCGCCUGAAAGACCCGCGUUUGGUAGAUCUGGAGGGUUUUUGUUGGGGCAGGAGAGCAUGGUGUCCACCUUUGGGUGCACAGGAGUAGUAGCUGUUUCGGUUGGCGAUGGGUUGUGUUUAUCCUUCCCACUAACUGUAACUGUGCUUUCGCCCUUUACCUCCGUCAUAUCUAGUUCUGGUACAGGUGAUACUAAGCUUUGUGCUGCAUGUAGAGAGACCCCUUUGGCGCAUGUUCCCUCUGCAUUAGUAGCCUGAGAGCAAAACGUAGUUGUUGCAACCC